CCUCUCUUCCUCUAUGAUCUUACUUAUUUUCCCUCUCUUCCUAUAUGAUCCUUUCUUAUAUUCCAUUUAUGAGUGAAACCAUAUGAUUUUCUCUUUCUCUGAUUGACUUUUUCACUUAGCAUGAUACC